rnacentral:rRNA from 1 species
GACGAACGCUGGCGGCGUGCCUAAUACAUGCAAGUAGAACGAGUUGCGAACGGGUGAGUAACGCGUGGUAACCUGCCUCAUAGCGGGGGAUAACUAUUGGAAACGAUAGCUAAUACCGCAUACUGUGAGAUGGAACUGCUGUGUAUUAGCGAGUUGGUGAGGGAAAGGCUCACCACGGAGACGAUACAUAGCCGACCUGAGAGGGUGAUCGGCAACACUGGCACUGAGACACGGUCCAGACUCCUACGGGAGGCAGCAGUGGGGAAUAUUGCACAAUGGGAGCAAGCCUGAUGCAGCCAUGCCGCGUGUAUGAAGAAGGCCUUCGGGUUGUAAAGUACUUUCAGCGGGGAUGCGUUACCCGCAGAAGAAGCACCGGCUAACUCCGUGCCAGCAGCCGCGGUAAUAC